AUUUACAUUAUAUUUAGCGCUGCUGAUUUAAAUUAGUUGGUUUUAAUUGGCUUGAGUAUGCAUAGCUAGAAAUUUUACCAACUUUUAAUAAAGAAAGAAAAAAACAAGCUGUCCGGUGCAAGUCGGAAAAUGAGGAGGCUAAAGCCAAAUGAAUUACUUACAACAGAAGAUUUUGCAAAAUAUUUAUUUAGUUUUGCAACACGGGGGGGGGGCAUUUAUUAUCAUUGUUGUCAUGGUUAAAACAUUUAAGUUGCUAGUUUUCUUAUUGUUUGGUAUUCUCUUGUGUAAAAAUCGUUCUUAUAUUUCUUAAUAAAUUACGGUCUCCUAAGGCAUAACAAUUUGCUGAUGUUGAUAAGGGUACUUUUCGGUGUCCUUUGGGAGCUUGACAUAAAAGCAUUUAUUUUCACGAUGACAGUUUCAUACAGAUUGCACGAUUUCUCAAAGACACGCUUGAUGCGAUCAUCAGACAAGGCAAAUACGAUCUUAGGUGAUGUUUUUUAUCGACUUUUAGCUUCUCCUGUACUGUGCUUUGUUUUGUUUGAAUAUGCUGCAUCGUAACACCAGGAUCAAUCAAGCUACAUUUCAUGUAUUUAAUACGGCGUAGUGUUUUAUCAAAACAAGGUGGUCGACUUUAUUUGUCAAUAAUCAUUAUUUUGCAAACAAAUAAUCAAAUUGAUCAUGGAAAAUAGCGGUCAUCUUCGAGCUUUUCGCCUCUAAAUCGUGUCCCAUUUACUGUAAGCAGUUUUUUUUCUUUUGCACAACAUAUUAUUUUAAGAAAAUAAAGGAUUAAAAGAAUUGGAAUUCAGGUCUAUUGAAAAAAAUCUUGAAACAGCUGUUAUCGAUGUUGUUGUCGACUUUUUGUUUAUUAAGAUGCCAUAUGGCUGCUGAUUGCGUUUUCAAUGUCAAAAGUUAAUAGGGAGUUUGAUGUGUUCCUCAGCAGUGGUUUUUAGCUCCAAUGCUGUUGGUUGUUGAAUGACUAUGCUUACAAUGCUAGUACCUGUCAUUAAAUCAAACUUACCAAUAUAUUUUAAGUUCCUGUGAAUUUCUUAAUAGACAUUUUAGCAGACUUCAUCCUUAAUGAACAAUGGCUAUUAAAAAUACAUGUGCUUUCACAUUUCGAUUUAGUCGGAAAUAAAUUGUCAUAGAAAAAGUGAAUUAAGAAUUGAUGGUGAUGAAUUAAAAUGCUAUUGAUGUCCUUCGAAACCAAGUCUUUUGUUUACAGAUGCUUAUAUUCUGAUGGCAUAACAACGAUUAUUUUAAUAUACCUGAGUAUUUUUGAUCCAGACGCAAUCUACAUUUGUGUUGAGGAAUUUUACUGCAAGGUGUGAGAUUAAGCUUGUUGACGAAUAAUCAGAUAUAUGUGAAAAGAUUUCGUUUGAAAUUAGUUCUCGCCAGUGCUGCACAGAUUUGUACAGAGAAUCACAAAGAUGUAACCGAUGGGAAGGAGUCCCUGCUCUUUCGUACACCGUGAAAUCCAGAUUGAGUGAAUAAAGAUAUAGAAAAUUUGAUUAUUCAAGAAAUAUAUUCUUGCUUAUCAGACAAUCGUUGUCCUUCCUAAGCAAGUUACGAUAAUGGCAAGCAGAAAAGAAUCUGUUAUGUCGAUGAUUCAGCUGGAUGUUGAAACAGACACAACGACAACUCGACACACGCAAUGGCGAAGGCUUUCUAGAAAACGCAGACGCACUCUUAUUAAGCGAGCUCUACGUAAAUUGGAGCAAGAAGCUGGUGAGAAGUAUGUUAGGAUUGGCAUGGACGAUUAUAGCCACGUUCAGAGCCUGGUUUAUAGUGAAUUGCCGUUCAACCCUAAUGGGCAUCAUUGCUCUUGCAACUGUCUAGAUGAAGUCAGAGAUGACCCAGAGCUUGAGGUGUACGGUUGGAAUUAUGGCCGACUAUUAAAAAGCUCAGAACAAGGAUAUUACGGUGAUAAUGAAGAAGACAGAGACGAUGUUCUGCUAAGUGAGUAUAGCGCGACACUUAGUGCCUUAGGAUCACCAGAGAAAGGCCUUAUUAAGACAGAGCGCUCAUCAAGGAAGAGUUUCUUUGAAUCCAUGGAUGGAUACGAUGCACAGAACAUGGGUGACGACUCUGCUAGGAGUACAAUGGGCGGUACUCUUGAAUUGAAGCCUGGAAGUGAAGCAACGGCUGUUCAGGAAAGUCCGCGCAAUGAGAUGACAGAUGCAAGCAGAUUCAGUAUACACUCGUUUGCAAAUCAUAAUGGCUCACCUGAAACAGUUUCUGAAGCUGUAACAGAAAGAAUCGACCUAGACAAGGAAAAAACCUUUAGAAGCAUCUAUUCUAGCCGAGAUACUGGCCGUAGUGGUAUCUCUAGAAACAAAAGCCGCACAGGUUCCAAAAAAGGCUGUUAUUGUGAUAGAUUUGCGGUAGGCAGCAAAACCACCAGAAGAUCCAUAGCAAGCGGUAUGUCUAGGUUGUCUUCGAGAACUGCAUGCAGCAAGUGUCAACAUUUUUUGAGUGCGGUCGAUAACUUAAGACACCUAAAUUCCAGCCGUCAAAUUACUUUAGCGAAGGAAGAGGGGUUGCUUAGGAGCAAGAUAUUUGGAUUACGUCAACAACUAAAGCAUUAUGAUGAUAUCAUACAGAAAAAUGAUUACAAUACCAUACAGAGCAAGGUGAAGAGAAAACUCCAAAUACGAGAUGCGCAGCAAAAGAAAGCAUUGUUGCUAUCAGAUAACCUAAAGUUGAUGAAAGUUGAAGAGCUGUUGUACAGGAAAAAUAACGAGAUAUUGAAGGAACGCCUUGCUGAGGAAGGAGGAUCGAGCCAAGCAGACGAUGCAUUAGGCGAAGAAGAAACCGGAAAAGAGUACGAUCAAAAUUUUAAUUUCACCUUUAAACAGAGUGGUUUUAACCGAAGUCCACGGAAAACCGGCAAAAAUCAUCGAGGUACUGGCUUGCCAGCUGUCAUGGAGGAGAACGAAGAAGAUGUAAGAGAAGGCCACUCCUCGAAUCGAAAACGUCCUAUCAAUUAUGUUGAAAAUCAUGCAGUCCCUUCCUUUGAUGAUCCUUAUGAGAUUUUGUUUAUCAAUCAUAGUGACAACGAAGCGGAAAGCAAGAGUAAAAACUAUACCAAUGGUGAUAAUAAUUAUGAUGAUGAGGAUGGUGAAGAUAUCUUUAUGAGAACAUGGCCUGCAUAUAAGCGUGAUUCCCUAAAACUUGGCUUUUGGGGAGCAGAUGGGAGGGACAGUGUUGCUAGCAUCAAAACAGUCAAGUUGAAAAAGCCAGUGAAGGCUGACCCAGUCAGAAGAAUAGUUCAUCGUUUAGAUAGUGGUUUGUCCUAUGGAAUAUCCUCUACAGAAAGUGAGUUGGUGGCUGAUGAGUCCUUUUUAGAAAUCAAGGAUAAAAUCGAUGAACAAAAAAUUUCAGGCAGUUAUCUUCCGGAAGAUGAAUAUUACAAACCGUUAGUUGAAAGACAAAGAUCAUUUGGGGAUAUAAUAAAGAACGUAAUUAAAAAGGAAAUUGCAAGGCGUGCUUCUGAUGACUCAGGAAAAACAGUUAAUGCAGGACAUAUGUUUGAAGAUGAAGAGAUAAAAGACAAAUUGAAAAAGGAAUUGACAAGAAGAAGAAGUUUGAGUCAAAUUGAAGGUAAUCAUAAUGAUCUCGUUGAAAAGGCCGAGAAAAAGAAUGAGAAGUUACUCCAGGAGCUUAGGGAAAAUUACGGCAAAGGUGCAAAUGAUGUUACUGAAGAUGCAAGCUCUGUUAGUACACCUUUGAAAAAAAUCUCCGAAAAAUCAGAAGAACGAAAACAUGAAGAAGAAAUGGGCGAUGAAGAUAUUGGUGAAUCUGCCAAAAUGCCAAAGCCUGGAAGAUUUGUUGAUCUAUCUACACUGAGAACACUGGCACAGAAACACCAAACAUUGCGAUCUCUUGGAAGAUUAGAAGAGGAAGAGUAUAAGCUAUCAUCUGGGGUUGAAAAACUUAACACUUACAGGAAAAGCGAGGCAAGGGCGAGGGUACAAAGCCAAGAAUCACAGCAGGGUUAUCAUGUUGACACAGAGCUACCAUUGUCAGCAAAAGAAAAGAAAUUUUCGAUUCCUGCCCCACAGAAUAUACAGUCAAAACUUGAAGAAAAAAUAGCUGAAAACGAUAAGAAAAUAUCCCGUAUUGAUUUUGAAUAUGACAUGAUGCGUGAUUUGAGAUUUCUGAUCCUUAAUCAAAACAUGAAUCGAGCAUUUACAUGGUCCUAUCUGAAAGCGGCACCUCCCUACUUGAAAAAGAAAUGGCAGGGCAGAAUAAAAAGAGGGUUUUUGAGGGGUGUGAAGGAGCAAAAGCUCAAUGAAGUUCAACUAGAGAAGGUUGAGGAUGUUACGUUAAAAAAUAUUGACCGCAGUCAAAUUCACAAAGUCACGUUGACAAAUGAACAGAAGAAAAGGCGAAAAUCCACAGACCAAUCAGGAUCGCGUGCUCUAUCACAGUCGAGCAGGCCAUUGAGCAGACGAAGACAGUCAGAAAAUUCAACUGAACCUAACACUAGUGAUUCGGGAAACACGCUUCCUCCACUUAAGUUGCCUAACUCCCGAGAAUCGUCGCCAGUGUUGACAAGUUACGACAGAAGACAAAGUACUGCCAACGCGGACGGUGUAAAAUCCUUGAAAGGUGCAUUCAGAAAGUUAAGCUUACGGCAUAAAUUUAUCGAAAAGACGGGACUGAUGAGAAACGUUAUCAAACUUAGCUCAUACUCCAAGAAUGAAGGGAGUGAGAUCGAGGGCUUUCUUAUGCCUGCGAGUGAUCGGUCUCGUGCUGGCAGCGAGUCUGAGGAGCGUUUCACAUCGAGGCUGAAGCAGCAGCAAAGACGUCACAGCAUUGCAACACAGAACUUUGCAUCAAGUGAUCCAUUAUCAGGGAGACUCUCUGUCAAUUCUGUCGAUAAAAGAAGAAAGCUUAGCCUUAUGCAACCAAUUAGUGAAUUUUGAACAAGAAUAUUUUGCACUCCUUUUAAUGUGAACGACUUUUGCUUAAUCCCAACUUGUCAAUUGCAUGCUAUUAUGUUGAUGCUCUUGAAGGGAAUGUAAUUUAGUUCGCCUUAGCGUUUUGCAGUAACCAAAUAUCAGCAAGGAUACCAGAAAUGGUUUUAGCUAAAAAGAUCUUUUGAUGUUUGUUCGUUCGUAUGAUGAUUUCCCGACCGCAUGUAUUAUCCUAAUGCCAAGUAACCCUCUUUUUUAUACCCUAAGGGGUUGGAUCAAGCAUUAGUAUUGAAGCAAUGAAAUGUCAUUUAGGCCAUCUAUGCCUAGUCGAUAAGAUUAAAGGCAUUCAAUACUUUUUAAUAAAAGAAAAUGACCAUACCUGUAGUUCAGCAAAUUUUGGGGGCUGCAGAUCCUAGACCCACCCCAACUUCCGACGGCUUUCUCAGAAUUAGCUGCAACAGUACGUAGCCCUUUUCGUGAUUGCCAAGCUGCCCAAUAUUUAAUUCAAUUUAUCAUGACACAUCCCAUACCCCUUUUGGCUUUUAUCAUUGUCUUGUGAAAUACUGAAGAUUAAAUGACUUAUUUCGUGAUUAUUAGACUCUGCAAAGUCAUUUCAAAACAAAUCAUUAUUGGUCUGGUAAUAGUAUUUAUGAUACGACUCCUAUGGUUUUUGAAGACGAAUGCAUCUCAUGUCAAAUUUACAGCAAAAGAAUUAGAUAUAGCCUAUCGGAUCUUUACAGAAUUAACUGAAUUUUCAAGGCACCAGCAACAAACGGGAAAAAAUUAACCUUGUAUUUUGAGUGUUCUCUAAAUGUUCAUAUAACAGAGUAUAACAGUGUUUAGCAGUGUACAGUGUCUUUAAACAUUCAUAUAAAUGCAAAGCUGCGCUUCCAGGAGACUGUUUCUGUAAUGUUCUAAACGAGGCUAUUGUAUAACGAGGUUUAUUAUUAUGUAACACAAGUAACAGAAGCACGUCUCUAUUUCGACCGUACUCAAAUUGAUGCCUUUAAUCAUGGGCUCUGACGCAGGUUGGAAAGUUGAGGGACUAGGGGAGAUUUUGACAAACAGAAAAUAGCCUGAGCAUGUUCAAUUACAACAGCUAUACUUUUGUCGUUUGGGGUCCCCCCCUUGAUUUUUAGUACGUUACUGCUUUGUCGAUCUCAAGCUCACCCCCUGCUCACUCAAAAGAAUUAGAUAUAGCCUAUCGGAUCUUUACAGAAUUAACUGAAUUUUCAAGGCACCAGCAACAAACGGGAAAAAAUUAACCUUGUAUUUUGAGUAUUCUCUAAAUGUUCAUAUAACAGUGUAUAACAGUGUUUAGCAGUGUACAGUGUCUUUAAACAUUCAUAUAAAUGCAAAGCUGCGCUUCCAGGAGACUGUUUCUGUAAUGUUCUAAACGAGGCUAUUGUAUAACGAGGUUUAUUAUUAUGUAACACAAGUCACAGAAGCACGUCUCUAUUUCGACCGUACUCAAAUUGAUGCCUUUAAUCAUGGGCUCUGACGCAGGUUGGAAAGUUGAGGGACUAGGGGAGAUUUUGACAAACAGAAAAUAGCCUGAGCAUGUUCAAUUACAACAGCUAUACUUUUGUCGUUUGGGGUCCCCCCCUUGAUUUUUAGUACGUUACUGCUUUGUCGAUCUCAAGCUCACCCCCUGCUCCUUGGAUAAAACGAAUUUUUGAAGGGGCCGAAAACCCUUUAGUGCCGUCCAUUUGAAUAAAAAUCUUAACAGUAGAUUUCUGCUAUAUCUUAUGGUCAAGUCAUAGUGGAAGCCUGUUGUUCUAACUCUUUGUUCAUGUUUAUUACAAUCACGUGAUCUAAGUAAGGGGACGCGUUAAAACAGGUGUAAAGGAUUGUUGUUGAGUUUUGAAUGUUUCUCGAGAAUGUUGGUAAUUUUUACAAUCUAUUCUGUUCUGAUAUUAUUAAAACUAUGAUCAGCUCAUAUUGUGCAGUUCAGGGAUGAGGCAUUUCUGUCAUCACUCUUACUUGGGAGUAAGAUUUCUUAGAACUUCGCGACGCAAUUGGCAAGAUUUUUUGGCUUGGAUAACGGUAUAAAAAGAUUUACACGACUGCAAACAAUUAUUUUGAGCGUCAAAUUGAAUCUGGAGAUGUUUUUAUUUGCGAGAAAAUCGGCGUGGGGAAAAAUGAGAUGGGUUAGUUGCAGCUCCCCUUCUCAGACAAAACUGUCACAUUUCCUGCUCCACUCGGACAGUUUUAUCUCAAUGAAGAAACGAUUUUCGGGGAAGAUCAAUGCUUAGCCCCCCUAAACGUCGAACAUCCGCUACGUGCCUGGAUAAGAGUUUUUAAACAAAAAUAUAAGCCUUCGUGGAACAUUGAUGAAGUCGAGUACGUUGCUGAUACAGAUAUGGUUGAAGCUCGAAGAGCCAAAAUUGUGAAAGAAUUGUUAGAGGAAUACACGAAGGACAUACAACAGGGCGCCCUCACCAUCAUCAUUUUGGACCAAGGACCGAGAUAACGGGGGGUCAGGGAGCCUUGCCCCCAAAAAACUUAAUAGCAUAAGUAAAAUACUUUUAUUUUCUAAAAUUUGGCUGUUGCUACACUUAUUAAUCAGAGCUUCACAACCCCCUCCCCCCAUCCCAAAAAAAUAAACAAAAAGGUGUAUCUCGGUCUCUGUUUGGACACGAAAAAAAUAUUCAACGAAGAGACAUUAGUAUUAGUUGAAAAGUUGAUAGAUGAAAAAGCAAUAGAUUUAUCAGAUUCAACUUUUUUGCAUUCACAUUUAAUCAGCUAUCAUCUGUUUUAGGGUUUGAGAAAUGUUUCUUGAAAGUAAGUAUUUUUAAUCGCGAAGACAGACUUUGAAACACAAAAAAUCGUUGUAUCUGACUCGUGCAAUAAGCAACUUUGUCAAAAGCCCAAAUAUCAUUGGUUUUUUACACUUAUGGGUCGCCUGUCUGCGCUAGGCUUCACGAAACUGUCUGCAUCUGCUAUUGCGAGAGAAGAAAGUGUUUUAUCUUGUCCCCUUCCUUAGUUCACGUGAAUAAAAUAAAAGUGUUUUCAAGUUCUAGAUAAAAACAAAAGAACAAAACAAUGGGCUUCCAGACUAAGAUCAAGCGAUAGCAGUCAUUUGCAAGCAUGAGUCAGUCGUUUUCAUCGGAUCUAAUUUCUUUGUUUUCCUCAAUGAUCAAUGUGUUAUGAGCAUUGUAUAAUACAAUAAAAUCAACACAAUAAAAUAAAGCCCUAUGCUAAAUUCUAACGAUUCAAGAUCUUCCAAGGUGCAGGUCCUGUGAGUGUAGGGCGAAGAGCAGCAGGUUAACGAUAAGGUGGAUGCACCUUGAUUGACAACAAGCACCAAAUACAUGGAUGCUGGCUGGAAAAUCCAUAAUUUCAGAAGAUAGAUCAGUAAGA